rnacentral:rRNA from 1 species
AGAGAGAGACAUGCGCGCAUAUCAAUAAGCGGAGGAAAAGAAACUAACAAGGAUUCCCUUAGUAACGGCGAGUGAAGCGGGAAGAGCUCAAAUUUGAAAUCUUCAAGGUUUUACCUUGACGAAUUGUAGUUUAAAGAAGUGUUUUCUGCUGAAGUUUUGGUAAAAGUUCUUUGGAAUAGGACAUCAUAGAGGGUGAGAAUCCCGUAUUUGACCAUUAUUUUCAGCUUUGUGAUACACUUUCAAAGAGUCGGAUUGUUUGGGAAUGCAGUCCAAAAUGGGUGGUAAAUUUCAUCUAAAGCUAAAUAUUGGCGAGAGACCGAUAGCGAACAAGUACCGUGAGGGAAAGAUGAAAAGAACUUUGAAAAGAGAGUUAAACAGUACGUGAAAUUGUCAAAAGGGAAGCGUUUGACACCAGUGUUGUUUUCUCGAAAAUCAAUUAAAAAUGGCUCGAUUUUGUAUUGUUGAGACCUUAAAAGCUCACUGUACAUUUUUCGUGUCUUUUUUAAUGCACUUUUCGUUUAACAAGUCAACAUCAGUUUCUUUUGUUGUAAAAGGGUCAUUGGAAGGUGGCUUUCUUUUCGGAGAAAGUGUUUAUAGCCUUUGGCCUCUGCAAUCGGAAGAGACUGAGGUCUGCAGCGUAGACUCUUCGGGGUUAGAUACAUUUGUGCUAAGUUAUAGCUUUUUAUAGACAACUUGUUGACUAUAAUUAGUCUUGUAGCUUACUCGCUUAUGCUAUUUUACCUACGCUUAGGAUGUUGAAGUCAUCGUAUCGCGC